rnacentral:rRNA from 1 species
GAUGAACGCUGGCGGCGUGCUUAACACAUGCAAGUCGAACGGAAAGGUCCUGCUUUUUUGGGGUGCUGGAGGGGCGAACGGGUGAGUAGCACGUGGGUAAGCUACACUUGAUUGAGGGGUAACUUAAGGAAGGAUGGGCUAAUAGCGGAAAGGAUAAUCCCCUGUAUGGCGGCGGUUGGACAGUUUCGGCGGUGGGGGAUGGACUCGCGGCUCAUCAGCCCGUUGGUGUGUUAGUGGCUUACCAGGGCAUCGACGGGUAGCCGGCCUGAGAGGGGGACCGGACACAUUGGGGGUGUGAUACGGCCCAGACUCCUCCGCGAGGCGGCGGAGUGGAGUAUUGUACUAUAUGCGGGAGCCUGAUGCGGCGCAGCCGCGCGCGGGAUGAGAAGAUUCGGGUUGUAAACCGCUUUUGCCUGAGACGAGAAGAAAAUGACGGUACCGGAUAAAGAAGCACCGGCUAACUACGUG